UGGACAGAUUAUUGUAUUCGACUGUAUUCACGGCGUGAAACAGGGGAUUACACUAUUUUUAAACGGAAAGUGAAUCAAUUAACAUAAUAGACUCCU
rfam:Nicotiana attenuata strain TT chromosome 1, whole genome shotgun sequence.